GGACUACAGGGGUUUCUAAUCCCAUUCGCUACCUACGCUUUCGUGUUUCAGCGUCAGGAAUGCGCCAGCAUACUGCCUUCGCUUUUGGUGUUCCCCAUGAUAUCAACGGAUUUCACCCCUACUCCAUGAGUUCCGUAUGCCUCUCGCAUCCUCAAGUCUUGCCGUUUCCCCUGCAGACCCCCGGUUAAGCCGAAGAAUUUAACAGAAGACUAACAAGACCGCCUACACACCCUUUACGCCCAAUAAUUCCGGAUAACGCUUGGAGCACUCGUAUUACCGCGGCUGCUGGCAC
rnacentral:rRNA from 1 species